GAAAUGCGAUAAGUAAUGUGAAUUACAGAAUUCAGUGAAUCAUCGAAUCUUUGAACGCACAUUGCGCCCGCCAGUAUUCUGGCGGGCAUGCCUGUCCGAGCGUCAUUUCAACCAUCAAGCCCCCGGGCUUGUGUUGGGGACCUGCGGCUGCCCGCAGGCCCUGAAAACCAGUGGCGGGCUCGCUGUCACACCGAGCGUAGUAGCAAUCACCUCGCUCAGGGCGUGCUGCGGGUUCCGGCCGUUAAACAGCCUUACAAAACCCAAGGUUGACCUCGGAUCAGGUAGGAAGACCCGCUGAACUUAAGC
rnacentral:misc_RNA from 1 species